GCAGAUAUUGCUCAAUUUAGUAGGAAGUCGGGUUUAGCGACGUAUUCAAACAUGAUACAACAAACUAAAAGGAAGAGGAAACAUUCACAUGUAAUAGGAGGAAAACAUCAUCGAGAUUGACACCGGCAUGAGAAAUAAGGCAGCAUUCAAUUUGGUGCGUUCAUGAGACCACAAAAGGUAACCACUUGAUAUUAAGCUCGGUACUAAGAGCGCGAAUAUGAGAGAGGAAGUACCAAGAGCAGGAACACAAUAUAAAUAAAUAAAAACUACGUAGCCAUAGCUUCUUAGGCAUACUACUUAGUUGCUUCAUUUGGCUGCCUUCUCGAUCAACUUCAUAGAUGGCACGUCACUUAACCUGAUGCAGGCAAUGUGUUAGAUAUAUUGCAUAGACCAAUUUAUGUGUAGACAAAAAAUGCACUUGCAUUUUUGUACCUUAGCCUUUUAAAGCUUAUAACCAGGGAGUGAUGGUUCCCCUUUUCAAUUUUGAAAGAAAAGACAUAUAUGAUACUCUCUGAUCCCUGCCGCUUUGACAGAUCUUGACCAAUUGUUUGUUAUUGUUGGUCUCUUGUCCGUAUCCAGGUGCACUCAUCCAACCCGGUAAUACAACCAUUGAAGCAUUGCAUAUAAAACAUGGCAUUAUCUAUGAACUGACCCACUACUACAAUGCCUCUCAAUUAUGAUGUGGACUUAAUCAAAGUGGUGCUACUUGCCCAACCCCAACUCCCACAGAAUCCCGUUUUUCCUAACCCGGUAAUAGAAAAAAAUAGGUAUCUUAGGAUGGAAAUGUAGGGACUAUCUUAGGAUAGAAAUGUAUCAAGGUAUUAAUCAACUAAGUUCAAUGAUCAAACCUCUGAUAUAAAUAUUUCAAUUAACAUCUGAUAUUACUCAAUAUAUCUCAGGAUGGAAAUAUAUCUGAGUAGGUGAUGGUAGAUACUCACAGUAGUAAUCACCCCGUAAAAUAUAUCUAAAAAGAUGACCCUAUAUAUGCAUGCCAUCGACGCAUUUGUUAUAAAAUAUGACGUGAAAUACCUUGCUUUGGUAUGGUAGAAACCAAAAGAUAAAUAUCAUGCAUUUAUUUGUUUGGCCAGACCUUUUGCCCAAAGAAACUGAAUCUCUCAUCACAACAAAGUUCAAGUAAAGUGCAAAUUUGCACUACGAUGGGCGAGUGGAUAAGAGACAGAGAACUAUAGCAGCACAAUAAGCCUCUGAAGAAAAGAAGGAGGCUCAGUGAUGACAUCGACAGCCUUGUCAUACAACGACAAAAAUGGCUUGAGCUGUUCAAAAAAAUGAUGAAAUCAAAAUGGGGGAGUAAUUUCUUUAGGCAAACACUGAAUCAAAAUCUUAGUGGUUGGUUUACCGACAACUAGUAUAUGAGGUAUGUUUAUUAUUUAUGGGACUUGUCCAUUUAAGCCUUAAUAUCCCAAUUACGGAUAUUUUGGUAAUUUAUAUGACGCACUGUAAAAAUAUUAAGCACUCACAAUUGAUUAUUUCCGUGACAAGUAAUGUUAUAAGUCAUCAAGCUCUUUAUGAUAUUUUCUACUUCAGAUUCCAAGUCGCAUUAAAUGAGUGCACAAAAGAGAAUAUAAAAAUAAAAAGGCUCAAGGUACUUCUGACAGAACUCAUCUCAGUGUUAUUUUGGUAUAUAGCUUAAGCCCUGGAUCAACUAAGCUAGCAUGGUAGAUUUUUCUUCUUAAUGAAAGCACAUAUAUGUAAGAGCAUGCAGAAAGGGUCAAAGAGCUAGAAUCCUAUAAAAUACAGAAUCCAUCUUUCGACACAGGGAACAAUUAUAUUUAUAUUUGAUACAGAACAUGCACUUGUGAAUUGGCAGGUAAUAUGAAGGUCAUGUAUUGGAAUUUUAC
rnacentral:lncRNA from 1 species